rnacentral:lncRNA from 1 species
UAUAUAUAUAUAUAUAUAUAUAUAUAUAUAUAUAUGUUUGUGUGUGUGUGUGUGUGUGUGUAUACAAACAGAAAAGAGAGAAUGAGAGAGUGAAAGAAAGAAAGAAGAAAAAUAAAGGGAAAAGUUAUAUGUAUGUGUGUGAGAUUGAGAAACUGGUUGAGAGUACCAUAGAUGGCUAGAUAGAUAGAUAAAGAGAGAGAGAGAGAGAGAUAUUGGUAGAGAGAGAGUGAGAAAGGGAGAGAAGAGAAAGAUGGAGAGUGCAGGCGAUUGGAAGAGCAGACGAGGGAAAGAGUAUGAUUGAGAAAGAAAGGAGAAGUUGUUUCAUCACCGUCCGCCACCGCACCCCAGCUGAACCCAAUAAUUUCCUUGCCAACUGCUGUUGGUUUUUGUUUAUUGGUUUCAAGGGUUCGAUUCUUCACUCCGUGCAGAAAGAAAAUCAAAAUUUAAUAGGAAAAAAAUAACAAAAGAAAGAACGAAAGAAUGAAAUUACACAACAUGGAAGAAACCGUUGUGUUUGGAAUUCUUCUUCACAUGAUGAUGAUGAUGAUGAUGAUGAUGAUCAACAUCAGUAUCAGCAUCAUCGUCGCUCAUUGCGUCAUCAUCGUAGUCAUAGUCGUCGUCAUCGUCGUCGUCAUCACCAUCAUCGUCAUCAUCGUCAUCAUCAUCAACAUCGUCGUCAUCGUCAGCUCGUUUUUGGAACAGAGAAUCAGGGUCGUUUGUCUUCUGGUUUGUUCUAAAAGAUGUACCUGGGUGGGUGCGGGUCGACUGAAAUAUAGUUGUAGUAGUAAUAGUAGUAGUAGUAGUAGCAGCAGUACUGGGUGGUGGGGAGUGGUGAUGGUGGAGUGGUUUACAAGGAAGUCUCAUGCAACUCCCUUCGUGAUGGCGGUGUCGGUUCAACAAGUAUUUCUUAGAUUUCAUUUUAUGCUCCUUUUUUUUUUAUUAUUCCAGGUUUUCUUAUUGUUUUUCGUGUUGGGUGAUGUUUUUCGUGUGGCCGUAAAUACAAGUAUUCGUUGUGGUGUGGCAUGGGAGGCGUGUUGCUGUUGCUGUUGUUGUUUGUGUCCUGAAGAUGUCUACGUGGUUGGUGUUAAAGAAAGUAAAUGGUGUUAUUUCUCUUACAGUUGCGCAUGGUGGUGGUGGUGGUGGUGUGGCAGUCUCGGCGCCGUUGUUGGUGUUGGUUGCAUUGGUGUUGCGGGUGGAGGUGGUGGAGGUGGUGGUAAUGGUGGGCGGCGGCGGCGGUGGUGGUGGUGGUGGUGGUAGUAUUGUGCUGUUGUUUGUGGUGGGGUGUCGAUGUUGACAGUGUGUGGUUACUGCUGUGGUUGUUAGUUGAAGUUGCAUUAUUAUCAUUAUUAUCAUUAUUAUUAUUAUUAUUAUUAUUAUUAUUAUUAGUAGUAGUAGUAGUAGUAGUAGUAGUAGUAGUAGUAGUAGUAGUAGUAGUUGUAGUAGUGGUGGUAGUAGCAGCAGCAGCAGUAGUAAAUGUAGUAGUAGUGGUGGUGGUGGUGGUGGUAGUAGUUGUAGUAGUAGUAGUAUUAGAGGUGGUGGUGGUAGUGGUGGUAGUAGUUGUAGUAGUAGUAGUAGUAGAGGUGGUGGUGGUAGUGGUGGUGGUAGUGGUGGUAGUGGUGGUGACCAUUGCCAUCAUAUUGUCUUUGUCUAUUGUUGUUUCCCGAUGUAAUCACUCGUGUUUGUAAAGUUGCUCGUAAAUACCGUUGGCCUAUUGUUUGUGAUAUAAGUAUUGCCAUGGAGAAGUGGUGGCUACAAUGCCUUUCAAAGUUGCUGUUGGUUGUAAUGUUUGAUGAUAUUCUAGCGGAUUAAAGUUGUUGUUGAAUUUUUAUAAGGGUCCACCUAAGCAUGCCUUACCUCUGUUGUGUCUGUUCGUGUGCGUAUAUCCGUGGCUAUGUAAUUACCGGUGUGCGUUGGUCGGUGGGAAUGGAUUCGCUAGGUGGGUGUGUGUGUGUG